rnacentral:rRNA from 1 species
GUAGGGAAUCUUCCACAAUGGGCGCAAGCCUGAUGGAGCAACACCGCGUGAGUGAAGAAGGGUUUCGGCUCGUAAAGCUCUGUUGUUAAAGAAGAACACGUAUGAGAGUAACUGUUCAUGCGUUGACGGUAUUUAACCAGAAAGUCACGGCUAACUACGUGUCAGCAGCCGCGGUAAUACGUAGGUGGCAAGCGUUAUCCGGAUUUAUUGGGCGUAAAGAGAGUGCAGGCGGUUUUCUAAGUCUGAUGUGAAAGCCUUCGGCUUAACCGGAGAAGUGCAUCGGAAACUGGAUAACUUGAGUGCAGAAGAGGGUAGUGGAACUCCAUGUGUAGCGGUGGAAUGCGUAGAUAUAUGGAAGAACACCAGUGGCGAAGGCGGCUACCUGGUCUGCAACUGACGCUGAGACUCGAAAGCAUGGGUAGCGAACAGGAUUAGAUACCCUAGUAGUCC